AAAAAUUAAAUCAAUCAUUACUUUCAACAACGGAUCUCUUGGUUCUGGCAUCGAUGAAGAACGCAGCGAAAUGCGAUAAGUAAUGUGAAUUGCAGAAUUCAGUGAAUCAUCGAAUCUUUGAACGCACAUUGCGCCCGCCAGUAUUCUGGCGGGCAUGCCUGUUCGAGCGUCAUUACAUCCCUCAAGCCCCCGGGCUUGGUGUUGGGGAUCGGCGAGCCUUAGCGCCCGCCGUCCCCUAAAUUUAGUGGCGGUCACGCUGUAACUUCCUCUGCGUAGUAGCACACUUAGCACUGGGAAACAGCGCGGCCACGCCGUAAAACCCCCCAACUUUUGAACGUUUGACCUCGAAUCAGGUAGGACUACCCGCUGAACUUAAGCAUAUCAAUAAGCGGA
rnacentral:rRNA from 1 species